rnacentral:rRNA from 1 species
GGGGAAUAUUGCGCAAUGGGCGAAAGCCUGACGCAGCGACGCCGCGUGGGGGAUGACGGCCUUCGGGUUGUAAACCUCUUUCGCCAGGGACGAAGCUUUUGUGACGGUACCUGGAGAAGAAGCACCGGCCAACUACGUGCCAGCAGCCGCGGUAACACGUAGGGUGCGAGCGUUGUCCGGAAUUAUUGGGCGUAAAGAGCUCGUAGGCGGUGUGUCGCGUCGGCCGUGAAAACUUGGGGCUUAACUCUGAGCGUGCGGUCGAUACGGGCAUCACUUGAGUUCGGCAGGGGAGACUGGAAUUCCUGGUGUAGCGGUGAAAUGCGCAGAUAUCAGGAGGAACACCGGUGGCGAAGGCGGGUCUCUGGGCCGAUACUGACGCUGAGGAGCGAAAGCAUGGGGAGCGAAC